AUGCAUGGGGAUGGCUCGGCUGGGGGGCAUAACCCAAGUGGAGGUACUGAUCCGCGUUUUACUCAAUCUGAAUGGGAUAAGUUGGAUCCGGAUGAACGUGAGCUGCUCAAGGACAAUGCCCCUGCUCCUAACCCUCAGAAGGACCUGGCUUCCCGUGACGCUGCUGUUGGUAAGGGGACCCCAUUCUCUGGUGUUUGUUCCAAUGUGCCUACUCGCCCGCAGUCUCCGUCCUUCUCUGGGAUUGAGGAUCUUCCCACUUCCCCCCUGCGUUCCACCGAGCUCUCAACUAAGAAGAAGAAGAAGUCGUCGGUCCAGAAAUUUUCGGCUAAGAGUCGGGCCUCCUCUACCUCCAAGCUUUCGGCGGCGGGUCUGGCUCGUCGGUUGGACAAGGAUCUGGGCUCCGCCUCGGGGUCUGGCCCCGGGCCGGUGUCGCCGGUCCGGUGCUCCCUAUGCUGCGAUCUCCGGUGUCCACGACGCGGAAGGGCCGGCGCGUGCGCGAUUCUGGCGUUUCGGUGGCGGUGCGGGCGGAACGGCGUGCCGCGGCCAGAGACCUCCCUCCUACAGCAGUGGAAAUCAUUAACUAAGGUCGACGACCAAGAGGCGCUCUCUAUGCUGAUCUAUAAAAUCCGGACUACGGCUUCUCAGUUAUGCAGACAAGAGCAGGAUGCUUAA
rnacentral:rRNA from 1 species